rnacentral:rRNA from 1 species
UACGUAGGGUGCGAGCGUUAAUCGGAAUUACUGGGCGUAAAAGCGUGCGCAGGCGGUCUGUUAAGACCGAUGUGAAAAUCCCCCGGGCUUAACCUGGGAACUGCAUUGGUGACUGCAUUUGCUGGGAGUAUGGGCAGAGGGUGGGAAUUCCACGUGUAGCAGUGAAAUGCGUAGAGAUGUGGAGGAACACCGAUGGCGAAGGCAGCCCUGGGCCAAUACUGACGCCUCAUGCACGAAAGCGUGGGAGCAAA